UUUUCUCAAAGACUCGGGGGUCUUCAUCCAUGGUGGGUCUCCUCCACCCUUUACCCAGGCCGUGGUCAGCAUUGAAGGAGACACAGGCAGCGGGUCUCCGUUGACACACUACCUUUUUCUUGGAUUUACGUCUUUGUAUACAACUGGCAAAGAAGCGUAGGCUGGAAAAGUCCGUCGAAGAAUAGGCAUUGGGGAAGCAAGGGCAAGAAGGGGAGGAACAGUAGGCGCUGGGUCGGUCACAACUUUGUCUUCAUAUUGCAAGUAUUCAGUGAAAGUGGAUGUCAUAAACUCUAAUUCUAUGGCCACUUCUGACCAGGUAAAAUCUCUCGUAUGUAUUUUUACUAGUAUUAGAAAGGGUGGUUCUUUGAAAUUGGCUUUUUUGUAGGAUAGCUAGGGAGGUAGGAUUAUUAGAUCAUGUUGGAAUUGGAAUGCAGAGGAGGGAUCCGUCCUAAUACAACGUUAUUGUUUCGAUAUAUGAUGUUAGCUUCAAGGGAAGAUGGAAUUCUAAUACUUGUGAAUUAAACAAAGAAAAAAAUAAAGAUAGAAUUGCUUGUAAAAGAAGAAUAAUAUGACUAUUCGACUUAGGUUCAAUUUUUUUUCUAAGGUUUUAAUAAGAUGGGUGUUACAUUUGUUGAGGGACAAUGUCUGUCUCUACAAGUAACUAAUUAAUUAAUUAAGUUCUAUGUUGUCUUUUAUAAUGUUGUAAAUAAUGUAAAAGACCAUUGAUUUUAUAAUGG